ensembl:snRNA U2 U2 spliceosomal RNA
AUUGCUUCUUGGCCUUUUGGCUAAGAUCAAGUGUAAAAAGUUAAUAUUAGAUAAAUACCUGACACAUACCAAGUAACCAAUAAUAUCUGUCAAGUUAGUGGGUAAGUUGUGUUUGCUAAGGACUGACAUGCCAUAUUUUAGGCAAUAUUGUGCUAGCAGCAUAGCCUGAGUUAAUCCUAU